CGCUCGGCUCUCUCUGCUCUCCUUCCAGGGAUCCUCCACUUUCCUCUGUUAUCUCCUUCUAGGAUUUCAAUGGGGGGGCACGUUCCUCCUCUCGUCGCCUCCACGGAUAAGGCUCACGGUGAAAACAUUGAAGGGGAGCCACUUCGAUAUCCGGGUUCAGCCCAGCGAUACGAGCAAAACUUUUGAUACAGUUGGAUCCUCAUCCACUACUCAGGGCCUUAACCAAUGUUGCAACUGGCACUGAAAGAGCAACAACAGAGUACCUGCUGAUGCUUAUGUUCAAACUACAUCUAAUUUAGUUGCAGGGAGUGAUUGAGCCAGUGGUUCAGCAAUUGAUGGAUAUGGGUGGUGGGUACUGGGGAAAAGAUGCUGUUCUGCGUGCACUCCGUGCUUCUUACACAACCCAGAGCGUGCUGUGGAAUAUUUGUAUUCUGGUAUUCCUGCUAUGGCAGACGUUGCUGUUCCAAUUGGUAACAUUUCUUCAGCUCAAGCAUCUGGUCAAGACACAAUGGAAUCAACUACAGCACAUGAAGUUCUAGCCGAAUAAAUUCAUAUACAACAGAGGACUCCAAAUAUCGGUGUAGAUGCUGGGGAUGGAUCUUUGGAUUUCCUUAGACAUAAUCAACAGUUCCAAGCAUUGCGUGCAAUUGUUCAAGCAAAUCCACAAAUAUUGCAGCCUAUUCUUCAAUAACUCAGCAAGUAGAAUCAUCAACUUCUAAGGUUAAUCCAAGAGCAUCAAGCAGAGUUUCUUCAGUUAAUAAAUGAACCUGUUGAAGGUAUUGAAGGAUAAGGAUUCUGCAUCCACCAUUUGUGAGCUUGUUUUGAAAAUUCAAUAGUUUUGUGUAUAACCAGUUUGGAAAUAAAGUUGUGUUUGAUUGUUCAUAUGAGUAAUGGCUUGACCUAUGAGUAAAAAAAAUUUAAUGUUUACUCAUCACAGGUCAGCUGAAGUGCGCAAGUAUUUAUUUCUGCAUUGUUUCGGGUUAAAAAUUUAUCAUAUUUAA